UAAAUGAAGUACUCAAAAUUUACUCUGCGUUUUAAACUCUCCACCGCCGGUCUCUCUCUCCUUGCUCCGCCGCCGCUCUCCGCAUUUCGGUAACGACCUACACAAUCGAACACCGCCGCCGCCGAUCUCCAGCGGCGAUCGAACACCAAUCCUCCACAUCUAACAAUCGAACACCAAGCCUCCUCAUUCUUCCGCCGAUCUCUACUAUUCUCCACAUCUGCACACAAUCGAACACCAAGCCUCCUCGUUCCCCCGCCGCUCUCUGCUUUUCUCCACCGCCGCAUACAAUCGAACACCAAGCCUCCUCGUUCCGCCGCCGCUCUCUCUCCGCUUUUUCCACCGCCGCCGCUCUCCACUAUUCUCCACCGCCUGUUGCUCUCAAGCUCCAAGGAGGUAUAUACAGUUCGCGAUUCAAUCACAGUAAUAAAUUUCGGUGAUUGUUGAGUCUAGUCUUCUGAAACAGAAGGAUACAACAAGGUUGAUGUUGAUGCUGCUAAUAAGUUGAAGGGUUCAAGAUGAACUUGAUCUACUUUGAUCUCUACCAGUCCACUCAUCUGGAGAAGUUCGUUACUGCCUAUGGGGACUUCCUCAAGGCGAAUGGAGAGGCGACGACGUAUCAUUUGGUGAAUAAGGAGAGGAUGGUGAAGAUGAAGAAGGCAAGUUGCAAUGGUGCGGGAGAAAGCGGAUACGUGUAUGGUUAGCCAUUUGAGAUGCAUAGCAAGGCUACGCUGUUUUCGUCCACGUCCCCGGGAUCAUGCUCUGUAUUCAAAUUCAUAUAUUUUUUGCAUUUCAAAUUCAAAUGCACUGUAAAAAAAUUUCAUCAAUAUAAUGUCAUUUCCAUUUGGUUUA